rnacentral:tRNA from 1 species
CCUCUCAUGGCGUAGUGGUAACGCGCCCCAACUAGAGAUCGGGGAGUCGUGAGUUCGAGUCUCACUGAGAAGA